UUUAACUGAGCGUUCAGUUACUUGACGUAGACCCGAAACCGGGCGACCUACCCAUGAGCAGGAUGAAGCGAAAGUAAAAUUUCGUGGAGGUCCGAACCCACGAGCGUUGAAAAGCUCGGGGAUGACUUGUGGGUAGCGGUGAAAUUCCAAUCGAGCCCGGAGAUAGCUGGUUCUCCCCGAAAUAGCUUUAGGGCUAGCCUCAAGGUGAGAGAUACGGAGGUAGAGCACUGAAUGUCCUAGGGGGUAUUGCACCUACCGAAGACUAUCAAACUCCGAAUGCCGUCAUCUUAUACUUGGGAGUCAGACUGUGGGUGAUAAGAUUCAUAGUCGAAAGGGCAACAGCCCAGAUCGUCAGCUAAGGUCCCUAAAUGUAAGUUAAGUGGUAAAGGAUGUGGGAUUGCACAGACAACCAGGAUGUUGGCUUAGAAGCAGCCACUCAUUCAAAGAGUGCGUAAUAGCUCACUGGUCGAGUGAUCCUGCGCCGAAGAUUUCCGGGGCUAAAACUUACUACCGAAGCUACGGCAUCAGUAAUGAUGGGUAGGGGAGCUUCCCAUACGGGUUGAAGCAUGACCGUAAGGACAUGUGGACAGUAUGGGAGUGAGAAUGUUGGCAUGAGUAGCGAGAUGUGGGUGAGAAUCCCACAGGCCG
rnacentral:rRNA from 1 species